GUGAACGCUGGCGGUAGGCCUAACACAUGCAAGUCGAACGGCAGCACCGUAAGAGCUUGCUCUUACGGGUGGCGAGUGGCGGACGGGUGAGGAAUACAUCGGAAUCUACUUUUUCGUGGGGGAUAACGUAGGGAAACUUACGCUAAUACCGCAUACGACCUACGGGUGAAAGCAGGGGAUCUUCGGACCUUGCGCGAUUGAAUGAGCCGAUGUCGGAUUAGCUAGUUGGCGGGGUAAAGGCCCACCAAGGCGACGAUCCGUAGCUGGUCUGAGAGGAUGAUCAGCCACACUGGAACUGAGACACGGUCCAGACUCCUACGGGAGGCAGCAGUGGGGAAUAUUGGACAAUGGGCGCAAGCCUGAUCCAGCCAUACCGCGUGGGUGAAGAAGGCCUUCGGGUUGUAAAGCCCUUUUGUUGGGAAAGAAAAGCAGCAGGUUAAUACCCCGCUGUUCUGACGGUACCCAAAGAAUAAGCACCGACUAACUUCGUG
rnacentral:rRNA from 1 species